AGUGUACUCACCAGUAGCUCUUGGUUACAAAUCUUCUCGAGGCCUCCUGGAUGCACUCCUUUCUUGUACUAUGUCACAUCUUGGCGAGGGAAGCGAAGGGACGGUGUGGGAGAGAGAGAGUUGCCACUGGUUUGAGUGGAGAGUCUGCAACAGUGGGUGGAGACUCCGCACUGAGUGACAGGAAGAACCCGACCAGUAAAGGAGCAGCUCUCAAGGGCAGCGGGGGGGAAGUUGGCGUGCUCGCAGGUAGAAUCUGCCUGGCAGCCUUGACAACUCCGAGACUGCCGGGAGAGGGAGAGAGGGCGAUCGAACAGUGAACCUCUUCAGAUGGCUUUGGCGUCUCAGGACUACAGAGGGUAAAAUGGACGCCAAGACGGAGGCCUGAGAGGAAAGGGAGGAGAGGGGCGCCGCAGUAGGCCCCACCCACCUGGGCAGCAGGCGGUAGUUUUCCAGGCUGAUUUCGGGCAGGAAGGUGUCGCAGUCGAACUGCUGCCGGACGCGAGUCACGAAGAGCCUGCGCAGGCAGGGGGUCUCCAUGGCUUCCUGUGCAGGCAAAGGCAGAGGCACAGGUACAGCGCAGGCUAAGCUGACUGGAGGGGACAGGCGAAACGUCAUCUCCGUAUCCUUGAGCGACAAAGUCUCCAUGGAAACAGGCAGCAGGAAAGAGAAGGUGUGUGUGUGUACUGCUUAUUGUUGCGUAAGCAAGAACACGGUUCACCUGGAGACAUGAGGAGGAUGGAGG